AUUGUUAGAGGGGGGUUAGUUUAGGAUUUUAGCUUUAGGGGCUAAGGGUGUGUUAAGGCCUCUUCUGUUA
rnacentral:tRNA from 1 species